GAUGAACGCUGGCGGCGUGCUUAACACAUGCAAGUCGAACGGAAAGGCCUCAGCUUGCUGGGGUACUCGAGUGGCGAACGGGUGAGUAACACGUGGGUGAUCUGCCCUGCACUUUGGGAUAAGCUUGGGAAACUGGGUCUAAUACCGAAUAUGACCACUUCUUGGAUGUUGUGGUGGAAAGCUUUUGCGGUGUGGGAUGAGCCUGCGGCCUAUCAGCUUGUUGGUGGGGUAAUGGCCUACCAAGGCGGCGACGGGUAUCCGGCCUGAGGGGGUGUACGGACACAUUGGGACUGAGAUACGGCCCAGACUCCUACGGGAGGCAGCAGUGGGGAAUAUUGCACCAUGGGCGCAAGCCUGAUGCAGCGACGCCGCGUGGGGGAUGAAGGCCUUCGGGUUGUAAACUCCUUUCGCUAUCGACGAAGCCACUUGUGGUGACGGUAGGUAGAUAAGAAGCACCGGCUAACUACGUGCCAGCAGCCGCGGUAA
rnacentral:rRNA from 1 species